GACGAACGCUGGCGGCGUGCUUAACACAUGCAAGUCGAACGGUAAGGCCCCUUCGGGGGUACACGAGUGGCGAACGGGUGAGUAACACGUGAGCAACCUGCCCUUGACUCUGGAAUAACAGUUGGAAACAGCUGCUAAUACUGGAUAUUCAUCGUCUCCUUCCUGGGGGGUGAUGGAAAGCUCCGGCGGUCAGGGAUGGGCUCGCGGCCUAUCAGCUUGUUGGUGAGGUAAUGGCUCACCAAGGCUUCGACGGGUAGCCGGCCUGAGAGGGCGACCGGCCACACUGGGACUGAGAUACGGCCCAGACUCCUACGGGAGGCAGCAGUGGGGAAUAUUGCACAAUGGGCGCAAGCCUGAUGCAGCAACGCCGCGUGCGGGAUGACGGCCUUCGGGUUGUAAACCGCUUUCAGUAGGGACGAAGGGUGACUGACGGUACCUACAGAAGAAGGACCGGCGAACUACGU
rnacentral:rRNA from 1 species